GGCGAGAUGGCCGAGCGGUCUAAGGCGCUAGAAUCAGGACAUUGGGAUACGAACCCACCGUCUUAUCUAGUCCUCCGGGGCGUGGGUUCGAAUCCCACUCUCGUCA
rfam:Schizophyllum commune H4-8 unplaced genomic scaffold SCHCOscaffold_1, whole genome shotgun sequence.